rnacentral:rRNA from 1 species
UUUUGGUCAAGCUACUAAGGGUGCACGGUGGAUGCCUUGGCGCAGAGAGGCGAUGAAGGACGCGGCCAGCUGCGAUAAGCCUCGGGGAGCUGCAAACAGGCUUUGAUCCGAGGAUUUCCGAAUGGGAGAACCCGGCGGAGGUCAUGCUCCGCCAUUCCGGAGUGAACACAUAGCUCCGUGAAGGCCAACGGGGGGAAGUGAACCAUCUCAGUACCCCUAGGAAGAGAAAGCAACAUGCGAUUCCGUCAGUAGCGGCGAGCGAACGCGGAACAGCCCAAACCAGGCGGGCGCCAAGCCUGCAAGCGUUGUCCGCCUGGGGUCGUGGGGCAUCGCACGAUCCCGUUGCAGCGGGAUCAGAGAGUGACAAAUCGGCCGUCUAGUCGAAGGUUCCUGGAACGGACCGCCACAGAGGGUGACAGCCCCGUAGGCGAAAGGCGAGCGACUCUCGAGCGAUGUUCCCAAGUACCACGGGACACGAGAAACCCUGUGGGAAUUCGGGUGGACCAUCACCCAAGGCUAAAUACUCCUCUGCGACCGAUAGUGAACCAGUACCGUGAGGGAAAGGUGAAAAGUACCCCUGCCUAGGGGAGUGAAACAGUACCUGAAACCGUGCAUCUACAAGCAGUGGGAGCGCUUAUGGCUCGCCUCGGCGAGUCCCGCGCGACCGCGUGCCUUUUGCAUAAUGAGCCGGCUAGUUACCGUCGCUGGCAAGGCGAAGCGUCUUGCAUAGCCGUAGCGAAAGCGAGUCUGAACAGGGCGAUCCAGUCAGCGGUGGUAGACGCGAAACGAGGUGAUCUACCCAUGGCCAGGGUGAAGCUGAGGUAACACUCAGUGGAGGCCCGAACCAAUGUUGGUUGAAAACGGCUUGGAUGAGCCGUGGGUAGGGGUGAAAGGCUAAUCAAACCUCGUUAUAGCUCGUUCUCCUCGAAAUAGCUUUAGGGCUAGCCUCGCGGGUUGCAUCGCGGAGGUAGAGCACUGGAUGGACUAGGGGGCCCAAAAGCUUACCGAAUCCAACCAAACUCCGAAUGCCGUGAAUGUGGACCGCGGGAGUCAGACUACGGGGGAUAAGCUCCGUGGUCGAGAGGGAAACAACCCAGAUCGCCAGCUAAGGUCCCCAAGUGUCAGCUAAGUGGGAAAGGAUGUGGAGACGUCCAGACAGCCAGGAGGUUGGCUUAGAAGCAGCCAUCCUUUAAAGAAAGCGUAACAGCUCACUGGUCAAGUGGCUCCGUGCCGAUAAUUCAACGGGGCUUAAGCUGAUCACCGAAGCUGCGGAUCCGACGGGCCUGCGGGCCCGCCGGAUGGUAGAGGAGCAUUCUGAGGGCGCUGAAGUCGGAUCGUGAGAACCGAUGGAGCGUUCAGAAGAGACCCUGCCGGCACAAGUAGCGACAAAGCAGGUGAGAACCCUGCUCGCCGUAAGUCUAAGGUUUCCUGAGGAAGGCCAAUCCGCUCAGGGUUAGUCGGCCCCUAAGGCGAGGCUGAAAAGCGUAGUCGAUGGGAAACAGGUCAACAUUCCUGUACCGUUCCGCUCUCGUUAUGACGAUGGGGUGACGCAGGAGGAUAGACGAGCCUACGAUUGGAAGUGUAGGUUGAAGCGUGUAGGCGGGAGUCGUAGGAAAAUCCGCGGCUCCUUAACGCUGAGAUGUGAUCCCGAGGGCCUCGGCCCGCAAAGUCGUUGAUUCCAUGCUGCCAGGAAAAACCCCUAAGCAGAGUGCGGGGCGACCGUACCGCAAACGGACACACGUAGACGGGGAGAGAAUCCCAAGGCGCUUGAGUGAUCCCCUGUGAAGGAACUCGGCAAAUUGACACCGUAACUUCGGGAGAAGGUGUGCCACCGGCGGUGAUGAGGUUCGCCCUCGGAGCUGCUGGCGGUCGCAGUGAAAUGGCCCAGGCGACUGUUUACUAAAAACACAGGACUCUGCUAAGUCGAACACGACGUAUAGGGUCUGACGCCUGCCCGGUGCCGGAAGGUUAAGAGGAAGUGUUAGCGGACCUUCGGGUCCGCGAAGCUCUGAAUUGAAGCCCCGGUAAACGGCGGCCGUAACUAUAACGGUCCUAAGGUAGCGAAAUUCCUUGUCGGGUAAGUUCCGACCUGCACGAAUGGCGUAACGAUCUGGGCACUGUCUCCACAGGGGGCUCAGCGAAUCUGUAGUACCGGUGAAGAUGCCGGUUACCCGCAUGAAGACGGAAAGACCCUGUGAACCUUUACUGCACCUUGGCAGUGAUCCCUGAUGCGUUAUGUGUAGGAUAGGUGGGAGGCUUUGAAGCCGGGACGCCAGUCUCGGUGGAGUCAUUGGUGAAAUACCACCCUUAGCGUAUUGGAGAUCUAACCUGGGCCCGUGAUCCGGGUCGGGGACACUGUCAGGCGGGUAGUUUGACUGGGGCGGUCGCCUCCUAAAGAGUAACGGAGGCGCUCGAAGGUUCCCUCAGGCUGAUUGGAAACCAGCCGCAGAGCGCAAAGGCAGAAGGGAGCUUGACUGCGAGACCUACAAGUCGAGCAGGUACGAAAGUAGGACUUAGUGAUCCGGUGGUUCCGUAUGGAAGGGCCAUCGCUCAACGGAUAAAAGGUACUCCGGGGAUAACAGGCUUAUCGCCGCCAAGAGUUCAUAUCGACGCGGCGGUUUGGCACCUCGAUGUCGGCUCAUCACAUCCUGGGGCUGAAGCAGGUCCCAAGGGUUCGGCUGUUCGCCGAUUAAAGUGGUACGUGAGCUGGGUUUAGAACGUCGCGAGACAGUUCGGUCCCUAUCUCAUGUGGGCGUAGGAUACUUGAGAGGAGCUGUCCCUAGUACGAGAGGACCGGGACGGACGAACCUCUGGUGCACCAGUUGUCGCGCCAGCGGCACAGCUGGGUAGCUAUGUUCGGUUCGGAUAACCGCUGAAAGCAUCUAAGCGGGAAGCCAGCCUCGAGAUGAGGUAUCCCUGAAGACCCCUGGCAGAUUACCAGGUUGAUAGGCGGGGCGUGUAAGCGCUGCGAGGCGUUUAGCUAACCCGUACUAAUCGGUCGUUCGGCUUGACCAAUUU